rnacentral:rRNA from 1 species
GACGAACGCUGGCGGCGUGCUUAACACAUGCAAGUCGAGCGGUAAGGCCCUUUCGGGGGUACACGAGCGGCGAACGGGUGAGUAACACGUGGGUGACCUGCCUUUAGCUCUGGGAUAAGCCUGGGAAACCGGGUCUAAUACCGGAUAUGACUCCGCGGCGCAUGUUGUGGGGUGGAAAGCCUUGUGCGGCUGGAGAUGGGCCCGCGGCCUAUCAGCUUGUUGGUGGGGUGAUGGCCUACCAAGGCGACGACGGGUAGCCGGCCUGAGAGGGCGACCGGCCACACUGGGACUGAGACACGGCCCAGACUCCUACGGGAGGCAGCAGUGGGGAAUUUUGGACAAUGGGGGCAACCCUGAUCCAGCCAUGCCGCGUGAGUGAAGAAGGCC